GAUGAACGCUGGCGGCGUGCCUAAUACAUGCAAGUCGAGCGAACAGACGAGGAGCUUGCUCCUCUGACGUUAGCGGCGGACGGGUGAGUAACACGUGGAUAACCUACCUAUAAGACUGGGAUAACUUCGGGAAACCGGAGCUAAUACCGGAUAAUAUAUUGAACCGCAUGGUUCAAUAGUGAAAGACGGUUUUGCUGUCACUUAUAGCUGGAUCCGCGUCGCAUUAGCUAGUUGGUAAGGUAACGGCCUACCAAGGCAACGAUGCGUAGCCGACCUGAGAGGGUGAUCAGCCACACUGGAACUGAGACACGGUCCAGACUCCUACGGGAGGCAGCAGUAGGGAAUUUUGCACAAUGGGCGGAAGCCUGACCGAGCAACGCCGCGUGGGUGAAGAAGGUCUUCGGGUUGUAAAGCCCUUUUUUUAGGGAAGAACAAAUGUGUAAGUAACUAUGCACGUCUUGACGGUACCUAAUCAGAAAGCCACGGCUAACUACGUG
rnacentral:rRNA from 1 species